rnacentral:misc_RNA from 1 species
CAAACCCUCAAGCCUCAGCUUGGUGUUGGGCCGUGCCGCUGCUCUCGCGCGCUGGCAGGCCCUAAAACGAGUGGCGGUGCCCGCGGUGGCUCCCAGCGUAGUAGAUCUCUCUCGCUCCGGAGAUCCGGCGGGCUGCCUGCCAGACAACCCCCCAACCAUCUUCAA